UACGUAGGGGGCGAGCGUUGUCCGGAUUUAUUGGGCGUAAAGAGCGUGUAGGCGGCCAGGUAGGUCUGCUGUGAAAACUCGAGGCUCAACCUCGAGACGUCGGCGGAAACCAUCUGGCUAGAGUCCGGAAGAGGAGAGUGGAAUUCCUGGUGUAGCGGUGAAAUGCGCAGAUAUCGUAAGGAAGACCAGUGGCGAAGGCGGGUCUCUGGACAGUUCCUGACGCUGAGGCACGAAGGUCAGGGAGCAACGGG
rnacentral:rRNA from 1 species